rnacentral:tRNA from 1 species
GGAACCGUGCCCGAAUUACUAAGGACCACUUUGAUAGAGUGAAAAACGGGGGUUAAAAUCCCCCCAGUUCCU